GUGAUGUAAGGGGUCAUUGUGACCCUCCACUUCCGGUUCGCCCUGGUCAUUUAACCACCAGCGUGUGGAGAGUAUUCAAACACGCCGGGGAUACAGAGACAUACAGACAUUCAGGGGAGGACUCCUAAAGCUUACACUCACCAAGGUUCUGGGACUACCUUCAACAUACUGACCUAUCUAUCAUAGCCCCCUAGGGGACUGGUCUCCCCAGAAAUCUCUGUCCAUUACCUGCCCCUAUGAUUAUCUAGGUGGUUUUAAGUGCAAUAGCAGAUUUCUUUGCUAUACCUACCUGCCAAAAUCACCAGGGGAACGACUUCACUAUAAACCCUGUGGUUCUGACUCCCGCGGGGGGUUAAGCUGCAGCUCGGACAAGCUUCCACCUUGUGACCAUUUCUAUCUCUCCCCCCCCCCCUUUGUUGUAUCCCAUUUGUCUUCGCUGACAUGGUUUGUUACUCCACAAUUGUUGAUGAGAAUGUAUUGUAGAUGAAUGCGGCGCCCAGAAGACGCUCCCUUUUGCGAAACAUGUCGGCGACUAGCAUCUAACUUUCAUGUGCAUCUCGUCUGUAACAGGGCAACCAAUGAUUUUAUCAUUGCAUUCUAAAUGUUUUCUUUUAUGUAUUUAAAUAAAUGUUUAUAUUUUUCUAUACAAAUGUUAUUGGCUCACCUACCCCUGACACGACACACCAUAGAGUCCUAUAUCACUGAUGCGGUUUCUAUACCGACUCAGUUGUUUUUUGUUCUUAAUCUGGUUCUAAUUUGUGUUUUUUGUUAUUUCAGUUUAACAUGGAUCAACUCAAUGUCCACAAAAAUCUGGCAAGAUUGAUUGAAAAAUACCGGGAACUCCCGUGCCUUUGAGAUUUGAGGCUCCCAUCAUACAAGUCUAAUGUGAGAACGGCAACACUCGAACAAGUUGCAACAU